CGAGCUUUGUUCCCUUUGAAGUUAGCGGCGGACGGGUGAGUAACACGUGGGUAACCUACCUAUAAGACUGGGAUAACUUCGGGAAACCGGAGCUAAUACCGGAUAACAUUUAGAACCGCAUGGUUCUAAAGUGAAAGAUGGUUUUGCUAUCACUUAUAGAUGGACCCGCGCCGUAUUAGCUAGUUGGUAAGGUAACGGCUUACCAAGGCGACGAUACGUAGCCGACCUGAGAGGGUGAUCGGCCACACUGGAACUGAGACACGGUCCAGACUCCUACGGGAGGCAGCAGUAGGGAAUCUUCCGCAAUGGGCGAAAGCCUGACGGAGCAACGCCGCGUGAGUGAUGAAGGGUUUCGGCUCGUAAAACUCUGUUAUUAGGGAAGAACAAAUGUGUAAGUAACUGUGCACAUCUUGACGGUACCUAAUCAGAAAGCCACGGCUAACUACGUGCCAGCAGCCGCGGUAAUACGUAGGUGGCAAGCGUUAUCCGGAAUUAUUGGGCGUAAAGCGCGCGUAGGCGGUUUCUUAAGUCUGAUGUGAAAGCCCACGGCUCAACCGUGGAGGGUCAUUGGAAACUGGGAAACUUGAGUGCAGAAAAGAGAAAGUGGAAUUCCAUGUGUAGCGGUGAAAUGCGCAGAGAUAUGGGGGGAAACACCAGUGGCGAAGGCGACUUUCUGGUCUGUAACUGACGCUGAUGUGCGAAAGCGUGGGGGAUCAAACAGGAUUUUAUACCCUGGUAGUCCACCACCCUAAACGAUGAGUGCUCAGUGUUAGGGGGGUUUCCCCCCCCUUCAUUGGCGGCGCCUAACGCAUUAAACACCUCCCGCCCCCGGGGAGGUCCGAACCGCCAGGGUUGGUAACCUCAAAAGGAAUUAUAAGGGGGACCCCCCCCCACGCCGGUGGUGGCCAUGGUAGUGUUUUUUUUUAAAACCACCGCGGCACAACACCUU
rnacentral:rRNA from 1 species